UACGUAGGGUGCAAGCGUUAAUCGGAAUUACUGGGCGUAAAGCGUGCGCAGGCGGUGAUGUAAGACAGAUGUGAAAUCCCCGGCUCAACCUGGGAACUGCAUUUGUGACUGCAUCGCUGGAGUGCGGCAGAGGGGAUGGAAUUCCGCGUGUAGCAGUGAAAUGCGUAGAUAUGCGGAGGAACACCGAUGGCGAAGGCAAUCCCCUGGCCUGCACUGACGCUCAUGCACGAAGC
rnacentral:rRNA from 1 species